GAUGAACGCUGGCGGCGUGCCUAAUACAUGCAAGUCGAGCGAACAGAUGAGGAGCUUGCUCCUCUGACGUUAGCGGCGGACGGGUGAGUAACACGUGGAUAACCUACCUAUAAGACUGGGAUAACUUCGGGAAGCCGGAGCUAAUACCGGAUAAUAUAUUGAACCGCAUGGUUCAAUAGUGAAAGACGGUUUUGCUGUCACUUAUAGAUGGAUCCGCGCCGCAUUAGCUAGUUGGUAAGGUAACGGCUUACCAAGGCAACGAUGCGUAGCCGACCUGAGAGGGUGAUCGGCCACACUGGAACUGAGACACGGUCCAGACUCCUACGGGAGGCAGCAGUAGGGAAUCCUCCGCAAUGGGCGAAAGCCUGACGGAGCAACGCCGCGUGAGUGAUGAAGGUCUUCGGAUCGUAAAACUCUGUUAUUAGGGAAGAACAAAUGUGUAAGUAACUAUGCACGUCUUGACGGUACCUAAUCAGAAAGCCACGGCUAACUACGUG
rnacentral:rRNA from 1 species